UACGAACUGUGCAAACGUUAUUCGGAAUCACUGGGCUUAAAGGGUGCGCAGGCGGUCUGCUAAGCAGGGUGUGAAAGCCCCCGGCUCAACCGGGGAAUUGCGCCCUGAACUGGCAGGCUUGAGUGAGAUAGAGGUGUGGGGAACUUCCGGUGGAGCGGUGAAAUGCGUUGAUAUCCUAAGGAACACCGGUGGCGAAAGCGGCUUACUGGGUCUCUUCUGACGCUGAGGCACGAAAGCUAGGGUAGCGAACGGG
rnacentral:rRNA from 1 species